rnacentral:lncRNA from 1 species
CUGGAGGCCAGUCUGAGCUUGGGGAUCAUCUGCUCCCUCACGGUCUGCGUGUGGAUGGACACGGAGCAGGGGCAGCCGGGGUAGGGGCCGCUGGUGAGAUGGGACGUCCCACUGGCAGAUUUCAUCAAGGAAUAUAUGGAGAUGAUCGACUGCGUCUCAAUAAGGGAAGUCUCAAUAGACCAUAUCUACGAGCGAGCAGCGAGCAAAGUGCGCCUAGACAAACCGAACUACCGCAGCGUCUUCGGGCACCUGUCCCAUGACUUGCACACGGCAUAGUGUGGGCACUGGAGGAGUCUCCCUUGUUGAGGCUGGUGUCUCUGCAAAAUGCCAACGGUUCAUGGGACCUGGACCCCCAGCUGGCUGUCGUGCUGGGGGUGAGCGAGACCGAUGCCAGGGAGAGGAUACCGAGGGAGGUGAGCC